rnacentral:rRNA from 1 species
AGUGAACGCUGGCGGUAGGCCUAACACAUGCAAGUCGAACGGCAGCACAGUAAGAGCUUGCUCUUACGGGUGGCGAGUGGCGGACGGGUGAGGAAUACAUCGGAAUCUACUUUUUCGUGGGGGAUAACGUAGGGAAACUUACGCUAAUACCGCAUACGACCUACGGGUGAAAGCAGGGGAUCUUCGGACCUUGCGCGAUUGAAUGAGCCGAUGUCGGAUUAGCUAGUUGGCGGGGUAAAGGCCCACCAAGGCGACGAUCCGUAGCUGGUCUGAGAGGAUGAUCAGCCACACUGGAACUGAGACACGGUCCAGACUCCUAUGGGAGGCAGCAGUGGGGAAUAUUGGACAAUGGGCGCAGGCCUGAUCCAGCCAUACCGCGUGGGUGAAGAAGGCCUUCGGGUUGUAAAGCCCUUUUGUUGGGAAAGAAAAGCAGCAGGUUAAUACCCCGCUGUUCUGACGGUACCCAAAGAAUAAGCACCGGCUAACUUCGUG